AGUGAACGCUGGCGGUAGGCCUAACACAUGCAAGUCGAACGGCAGCACAGUAAGAGCUUGCUCUUACGGGUGGCGAGUGGCGGACGGGUGAGGAAUACAUCGGCAUCUACUUUUUCGUGGGGGAUAACGUAGGGACACUUACGCUAAUACCGCAUACGACCUACGGGUGAAAGCAGGGGAUCUUCGGACCUUUCGCGAUUCAAUUAGCCGAUGUCGGAUUAGCUAGUUGGCGGGGUAAAGGCCCACCAAGGCGACGAUCCGUAGCUGGUCUGAGAGGAUGAUCAGCCACACUGGAACUGAGACACGGUCCAGACUCCUACGGGAGGCAGCAGUGGGGAAUAUUGGACAAUGGGCGCAAGCCUGAUCCAGCCAUACCGCGUGAGUGAAGAAGGCCUUCGGGUUGUAAAGCCCUUUUGUUGGGAAAGAAAAGCAGCAGGUUAAUACCCCGCUGUUCUGACGGUACCCAAAGAAUAAGCACCGGCUAACUUCGUG
rnacentral:rRNA from 1 species